UACGGAGGGUGCGGGCGUUGUCCGGAAUCAUUGGGCGUAAAGGGCGCGUAGGUGGCCUGCUAAGCGUGCGGUGAAAGUCGGGGGCUCAACCCCCGAUCGGCCGUGCGAACUGGGAGGCUUGAGCACUGUAGAGGCAGGCGGAAUUCCGGGUGUAGCGGUGGAAUGCGUAGAGAUCCGGAAGAACACCGGUGGCGAAGGCGGCCUGCUGGGCUAUGGCUGACACUGAGGCGCGACAGCGUGGGGAGCAAACAGG
rnacentral:rRNA from 1 species